GUGGGUAUAGCUCAGUGCUAGAGCAUGUGCUUAGCACGCGCAAGAUCCUGAGUUCAACCCCCGGGACCUCCA
rnacentral:tRNA from 1 species